rnacentral:rRNA from 1 species
AUUGAACGCUGGCGGCAGGCCUAACACAUGCAAGUCGAGCGGAUGAAGGGAGCUUGCUCCUGGAUUCAGCGGCGGACGGGUGAGUAAUGCCUAGGAAUCUGCCUGGUAGUGGGGGAUAACGUCCGGAAACGGGCGCUAAUACCGCAUACGUCUUAAGGGAGAAAGUGGGGGAUCUUCGGACCUCACGCUAUCAGAUGAGCCUAGGUCGGAUUAGCUAGUUGGUGGGGUAAAGGCCUACCAAGGCGACGAUCCGUAACUGGUCUGAGAGGAUGAUCAGUCACACUGGAACUGAGACACGGUCCAGACUCCUACGGGAGGCAGCAGUGGGGAAUAUUGGACAAUGGGCGAAAGCCUGAUCCAGCCAUGCCGCGUGUGUGAAGAAGGUCUUCGGAUUGUAAAGCACUUUAAGUUGGGAGGAAGGGCAGUAAAUUAAUACCUUGCUGUUUUGACGUUACCAACAGAAUAAGCACCGGCUAACUUCGUG